rnacentral:rRNA from 1 species
AUGGCGCCAUCGGAUACCAGGUUUGAGGUGAAGAAGUUCAACGGAACUGAAAGCUUUGGGUUAUGGCAGGCAAGGGUGAAAGAUUUGUUGGCACAACAGGGAUGCUUGAAGGCGUUGUUGCAGGAAGCCAAGCCAGCUAAGAUGGAGGCGGAUGACUGGGAGGAGUUACAGUUGAAAGCAGUCGGGACUAUAUGGUUGUGUCUGUCGGACCAGGUUAUUUAUCAUGUGAUGGAUGAGAAUUCGCCGAAGAAGAUCUGGGAGAAGCUGGAAAGUCAGUUUAUGUCCAAGACUGCAACGACCAAGGUGUAUCUGAAGCAAAAGUUGUAUGGGAUGAGGAUGCAGGAGGGGUCAGAUCUUGUGGAGUAUAUGAACGCCUUUAAUCAAGUUGUGACAGAUCUAGCACGCUUGGGUGCAACGGUUGACGACGAGGAUAGGGCAAUUCUGCUUCUUUGUUCGUUGCCAUCAUCCUAUGACCAUUUGAUCACUACUUUGACGCACGGCAAGGAGACCGUCAAGAAUGAGGAUAUUACUGCGGCAUUGCUAUCUUAUGAUAUGAGAAAGAAGAACGCGGUGGAAGUCUCUCAUGGUGAAGGUUUGCUAGUCAAGGGUGAGCAGUGGCGGAAGGGAUAUGAGGCUGGGAAGAACAAGAAAAAGAAAAAGAAUAUACAGUGUCACAAGUGUAAGCAGUGGGGACAUAUGAGAAAGGACUGUCCAGAACUCAAUAGUGGGGCAAGUGCUAAUAAGGCAACUUAUGGUGAUGACUCAGACAGCAGUAGUGAUGUUCUCAUACUAUCAGACAGGCGGUCAACCAAAGGUGAAGCGUGGAUGUUGGAUUCAGCUUGCUCUUUUCAUGCGACACCCAACAGGGAGUGGUUCUCUUCGUACAAGUCUGAUGAGUUUGGUUUUGCCUAUGUGGGCGAUGACACAGGUUAUCAUGUUGCUGGAGUGGGUGACAUCAAAAUCAAGAUGUUUGACGGAGUUGAGCGGAUGCUUCGGGGAGUCAGGCAUGUGUCAGGGCUAAGGAGGAAUCUAAUUUCGCUUGGUGUUCUUCAUGAUGGUGGUAUGGUAUUCCAUUGUGAUCGGGAUAGGAAGAUCAUGAGAAUCAUGGAAGAUAAGGUGACCGUGAUGAUUGGAGAGAGGACGGCUUCGCAUCUUUACAAGUUGCAAGGGAGCACUAUUGCAGGUGGAGUCACGAAGACUGGAGUUGCAGGAGUAGCAGCGGGGUCU